AACGAACGCUGGCGGCAGGCUGAACACAUGCAAGUCGAACGCCCCGGAAGGGGAGAGGCAGACGGGUGAGUAACACGUGGGAACAGGCCCAGAGGGACGGAAUCUCCUCGGGAAACUGGGAGCAAUACCGGAAGUGCCCGAAAGGGGAAAGAUUUAUCGCCUUUGGAUUGGCCCGCGUUGGCUUAGCUAGUUGGUGGGGUAAAAGCCUACCAAGGCGACGCUCCCUUGCCGGUCUGAGAGGACGGCCAGCCUCACUGGGACUGAGACACGGCCCAGACUCCUACGGGAGGCAGCAGUGGGGAAUCUUGGACAAUGGGCGCAAGCCUGAUCCAGCCAUGCCGCCUGAGUGAUGAAGGCCCUAGGGUUGUAAAACUCUUUUACCCGGGAUGAUAAUGACAGUACCGGGAGAAUAAGCUCCGGCUAACUCCGUGCCAGCCGCCGCGGUAAUAC
rnacentral:rRNA from 1 species